AUGAUGGGUGUUUCUGUACCCAUGACCAUACUUACAGACCAAAACCGUGCCAUGGAGCUGUCUAUCAUAAAUAUUAUGCCAGGGACAACACACAGAUGGUGCAAAUGGCACAUUUUGACGAAGGCCAAGGAGUCGUUGAGUCCUUUGUACACAAAGAAAAGCGACUUCAGGAGGUCGAACAGCUGGUGUAGGUGUUCAAACAACUUUGGAUGUCAGUCAGAGUGGUGUUAUCAGAGUAUCACGCGUUGCAAGGCAUACACGCAUGGGUGGCAGUGGCAUCGAUGGAGCGCAGAGCAAUGUAAACCAGUCAAGGAUCCGUAG
rnacentral:rRNA from 1 species